rnacentral:rRNA from 1 species
ACUCCUACGGGAGGCAGCAGUGGGGAAUAUUGGACAAUGGGCGCAAGCCUGAUCCAGCCAUGCCGCGUGGAUGAUGAAGGCCUUAGGGUUGUAAAGUCCUUUCGGCGGGGAAGAUAAUGACGGUACCCGCAGAAGAAGCCCCGGCUAACUUCGUGCCAGCAGCCGCGGUAAUACGAAGGGGGCUAGCGUUGCUCGGAAUCACUGGGCGUAAAGCGCACGUAGGCGGACUCUUAAGUCGGUGGUGAAAUCCUGGAGCUCAACUCCAGAACUGCCUUCGAUACUGGGAGUCUCGAGUCCGGGAGAGGUGAGUGGAACUGCGAGUGUAGAGGUGAAAUUCGUAGAUAUUCGCAAGAACACCAGUGGCGAAGGCGGCUCACUGGCCCGGUACUGACGCUGAGGUGCGAAAGCGUGGGGAGCAAACAGGAUUAGAUACCCAGGUAGUCCACGCCGUAAACGAUGGAUGCUAGCCGUUGGCAGGCUUGCCUGUCAGUGGCGCAGCUAACGCAUUAAGCAUCCCGCCUGGGGAGUACGGUCGCAAGAUUAAAACUCAAAGGAAUUGACGGGAGCCCGCACAAGCGGUGGAGCAUGUGGUUCAAUUCGAAGCAACGCGAAGAACCUUACCAACCUUUGACAUGUCCCGUAUGAGCAACAGAGAUGUAGCUCUUCAGUUCGGCUGGCGGGAACACAGGUGCUGCAUGGCUGUCGUCAGCUCGUGUCGUGAGAUGUUGGGUUAAGUCCCGCAACGAGCGCAACCCUCGCCCUUAGUUGCCAUCAUUCAGUUGGGCACUCUAAGGGGACUGCCGGUGAUAAGCCGCGAGGAAGGUGGGGAUGACGUCAAGUCCUCAUGGCCCUUACAGGUUGGGCUACACACGUGCUACAAUGGCGGUGACAAUGGGAUGCAAUGGAGCAAUCCUGCGCAAAUCUCAAAAAGCCGUCUCAGUUCGGAUUGCUCUCUGCAACUCGAGAGCAUGAAGUUGGAAUCGCUAGUAA